GAUGAACGCUGGCGGCGUGCCUAAUACAUGCAAGUCGAGCGAACAGACGAGGAGCUUGCUCCUCUGACGUUAGCGGCGGACGGGUGAGUAACACGUGGAUAACCUACCUAUAAGACUGGGAUAACUUCGGGAAACCGGAGCUAAUACCGGAUAAUAUAUUGAACCGCAUGGUUCAAUAGUGAAAGACGGUUUUGCUGUCACUUAUAGAUGGAUCCGCGCCGCAUUAGCUAGUUGGUAAGGUAACGGCUUACCAAGGCAACGAUGCGUAGCCGACCUGAGAGGGUGAUCGGCCACACUGGAACUGAGACACGGUCCAGACUCCUACGGGAGGCAGCAGUAGGGAAUCUUCCGCAAUGGGCGAAAGCCUGACGGAGCAACACCGCGUGAGUGAUGAAGGUCUUCGGAUCGUAAAGCUCUGUUAUUAGGGAAGAACAACUGUGUAAGUAACUAUGCACGUCUUGACGGUACCUAAUCAGAAAGCCACGGCUAACUACGUG
rnacentral:rRNA from 1 species